GCUGUAUCUCAGUGGUAGGGCAUCUUCCCCGCAAGCAGAAGGUCCCAGGUUCAAAUCCUGACAUGUACG